rnacentral:rRNA from 1 species
UACGUAGGGGGCAAGCGUUGUCCGGAAUUAUUGGGCGUAAAGAGCGCGUAGGCGGUCCGGUAAGUCGGUUGUGAAAGUCGGGGGCUCAACCCUCGGAUGCCGAUCGAUACUGUCGGGCUAGAGUCCGGAAGAGGCGAGUGGAAUUCCUGGUGUAGCGGUGAAAUGCGCAGACAUCAGGAGGAACACCAAUGGCGAAGGCAGCUCGCUGGGACGGUACUGACGCUGAGGCGCGAAAGCGUGGGGAGCAAACAGG